rnacentral:rRNA from 1 species
AGCAGUCGCCGCGGUAAUACGGAGGGGGCUAGCGUUGUUCGGAAUUACUGGGCGUAAAGCGCACGUAGGCGGCUUGGUAGUUAGAGGUGAAAGCCUGGAGCUCAACUCCAGAAUUGCCUUUAAGACUGCCGAGCUAGCAGGUGAGAGAGGUAAGUGGAAUUCCGAGUGUAGAGGUGAAAUUCGUAGAUAUUCGGAAGAACACCAGUGGCGAAGGCGGCUUACUGGCUCAUACUGGACGCUGAGGUGCGAAAGCGUGGGGAGCAAACAGGAUUAGAUACCCGGGUAGUCCCUGUCUCUUAUACA